GACAGAGGCCUCAAGCGUUGGGCGGAAUCACUGGGCUUAAAGCGUGUGUAGGCGGAUCGUUAAGUGUCUUGUGAAAUCCCACGGCUCACCCGUGGAACUGCUGGGCAUACUGGCGAUCUUGGGCCAACUAGGGGGCAACUGGAACAAGCGGUGGAGCGGUGAAAUGCGUAGAUAUCGCUUGGAACGCCAAAGGUGAAAAACAGGU
rnacentral:rRNA from 1 species